ACGAUAUUAAAACGCGAUGUCAGAUCCAUUGAUUUUAAUGCGUUAUUUUUUUAUGUGAUUUUUUAUAUUGAAUUCAAUAAUAAAAUUCAAAAUUAUGUCUUUAUACGUUUAGAUUCUAAGGAAAUUUUUUGCAUUUUUUUUAACAAUGGGCCGAUGUUGCAGAAGGAAAAUGUGCAGAACUCGCUGCAGAUCCCGCAGUGGACGAUUCAAGCGGUGCAGCUCUGGUGACAGGAGGUACAGGGUGCGACAGCGGUGCUGCCGACGUAAACGAGCCUGCCGUAGGAGGUCUAGAUCUCGUCGUAGACGCUCAAGGAGACCAAAAUAUACGUGGCGCUGCCGUUCGCGAAGCGGUAAAUUCAAAAUAUGCCGCUACUGCGACCGGAGGUACAAACUACGGAAACGUUCGGGGUCCUAAAUUGUGAUGUUUUGGUGUGCGUCUGCUUUCUACAUAUAUAAAUUGUCUGUGAUGUUUUAUAGUAAUAUAUUGUGGUCUUUUA